rnacentral:rRNA from 1 species
GAUGAACGCUGGCGGCGUGCCUAAUACAUGCAAGUCGAGCGAACAGACGAGGAGCUUGCUCCUCUGACGUUAGCGGCGGACGGGUGAGUAACACGUGGAUAACCUACCUAUAAGACUGGGAUAACUUCGGGAAACCGGAGCUAAUACCGGAUAAUAUAUUGAACCGCAUGGUUCAAUAGUUAAAGACGGUUUUGCUGUCACUUAUAGAUGGAUCCGCGCCGCAUUAGCUAGUUGGUAAGGUAACGGCUUACCAAGGCAACGAUGCGUAGCCGACCUGAGAGGGUGGUCGGCCACACUGGAACUGAGACACGGUCCAGACUCCUACGGGAGGCAGCAGUAGGGAAUCUUCCGCAAUGGGCGAAAGCGUGACGGAGCAACGCCGCGUGAGUGAUGAAGGUCUUCGGAUCGUAAAACUCUGUUAUUAGGGAAGAACAAAUGUGUAAGUAACUAUGCACGUCUUGACGGUACCUAAUCAGAAAGCCACGGCUAACUACGUG